UACGUAGGCAGCGAGCGUUGUUCGGAGUUACUGGGCGUAAAGGGUGUGUAGGCGGUUCUUUAAGUUUGGUGUGAAAUCUCCCGGCUCAACCGGGAGGGUGCGCCGAAUACUGAGGGACUAGAGUACGGGAGAGGAAGGUGGAAUUCCUGGUGUAGCGGUGAAAUGCGUAGAUAUCAGGAGGAACACCGGUGGUGUAGACGGCUUUCUGGACCGUAACUGACGCUGAGACACGAAAGCGUGGGUAGCAAACAGG
rnacentral:rRNA from 1 species